rnacentral:rRNA from 1 species
UGGUGAACCAGCGGAGGGAUCAUUACCGAGUUUACAACUCCCAAACCCCUGUGAACAUACCUUAAUGUUGCCUCGGCGGAUCAGCCCGCGCCCCGUAAAACGGGACGGCCCGCCAGAGGACCCAAACUCUAAUGUUUCUUAUUGUAACUUCUGAGUAAAACAAACAAAUAAAUCAAAACUUUCAACAACGGAUCUCUUGGUUCUGGCAUCGAUGAAGAACGCAGCAAAAUGCGAUAAGUAAUGUGAAUUGCAGAAUUCAGUGAAUCAUCGAAUCUUUGAACGCACAUUGCGCCCGCUGGUAUUCCGGCGGGCAUGCCUGUUCGAGCGUCAUUUCAACCCUCAAGCCCCCGGGUUUGGUGUUGGGGAUCGGCUCUGCCCUUCUGGGCGGCGCCGCCCCCGAAAUACAUUGGCGGUCUCGCUGCAGCCUCCAUUGCGUAGUAGCUAACACCUCGCAACUGGAACGCGGCGCGGCCAUGCCGUAAAACCCCAACUUCUGAAUGUUGACCUCGGAUCAGGUAGGAAUACCCGCUGAACUUAAGCAUAU